rnacentral:ncRNA from 1 species
GAGAGCCGGAUGAUCGGGAAACCAUCAAGUCCGGUUCGGCGGGAGGCCACACGGAAAAGGGCCAGCUCAC